rnacentral:rRNA from 1 species
GGUCUUGACAUCCGAUGCUAUUCUAGAGAUAGAAAGUUACUUCGGUACAUCGGUGACAGGUGGUGCAUGGUCGUCGUCAGCUCGUGUCGUGAGAUGUUGGGUUAAGUCCCGCAACGAGCGCAGCCCCUAUUGUUAGUUGCCAUCAUUCAGUUGGGCACUCUAGCGAGACUGCCGGUAAUAAACCGGAGGAAGGUGGGAUGACGUCAAAUCAUCAUGCCCCUUAUGACCUGGGCUACACACGUGCUACAAUGGUUGGUACAACGAGUUGCGAGUCGGUGACGGCGAGCUAAUCUCUUAAAGCCAAUCUCAGUUCGGAUUGUAGGCUGCAACUCGCCUACAUGAAGUCGGAAUCGCUAGUAAUCGCGGAUCAGCACGCCGCGGUCGAAUACGUUCCGGGCCUU